AAAGAUUGAGCCAGUCUUGGAAUCUGUCAUCUUCAAUUUAGGGCGCAUUCUUGACAGUAAUUAUGGGAGGCUGCAAAGUCUGUUGGGAAAGGAGUAGCUGAACUGAUAUAGGGUAUAUACAUUCACUAGCUAUAAUGAUAUCUCUGAAGCAGAUGGAAAUCCCAGAUUGAACAUGGGAGAAGGAUCCAUAGAUGGAAAUCCAAAUCGAACAUGGGAGAAGGGUCCCGAUGGCAUUGCUCUUGCAGAUUUCAUUAACUUGAUUUUACUAAACAACAUCACAAUUAUUUCUUUUGUUGAUGGCCCAACAAAUAUAGAUGUUGCUUUUGUUGUUCCUUCCUUCUGUUGCUCUUGACAUGGCCAUGUGAGUGUUUCAUACUAUAAUAUAUUCCUCUGUU